rnacentral:tRNA from 1 species
GUCGGCGCUGCGCCGCUGGUGCCGGGCCGCCUGGCGGGCGGCGGCGCGCUCCUGGCGGCCGCGGGCCCGUUCGGCCCGGGGGCUGACG